rnacentral:rRNA from 1 species
GAUGAACGCUGGCGGCGUGCUUAACACAUGCAAGUCGAACGAAGCAGAUUGAGAUCUUCGGAAGGAUAUCUGACUGAGUGGCGGACGGGUGAGUAACGCGUGGGUAACCUGCCUCAUACAGGGGGAUAACAGUUAGAAAUGACUGCUAAUACCGCAUAAGCGCACAGUACCGCAUGGUACGGUGUGAAAAACUCCGGUGGUAUGAGAUGGACCCGCGUCUGAUUAGCUAGUUGGUGGGGUAACGGCCUACCAAGGCGACGAUCAGUAGCCGAACUGAGAGGGUGACCGGCCACAUGGGGACUGAUACACAGCCCAAACUCCUACUGGAGGCAGCAGUGGGGAAUAUUGCACAAUGGGCGAAAGCCUGAUGCAGCGACGCCGCGUGAGUGAAGAAGUAUUUCGGUAUGUAAAGCUCUAUCAGCAGGGAAGAAAAUGACGGUACCUGGCUAAGAAGCACCGGCUAAAUACGUGCCAGCCGCCGCAGUAAAAC